AAAAGUUGGUAGGCGGAACCUAACGCCUGAUUGGUUACCCUCUGCAUCAAGCCAAGACAAAUCAAUUCCGGAUAAUGGAUUGAUGCAGAGCUACUGAACACAUUCCAAUACACUGGGUGGCGCUAUUCACCUCUACGUUGGUUUAGUUACACGGUUAAACAGAACUUUCAUUGCAACGGCUAAAAAUCAAGAGAAGACUCGGUCCUGCUAGCCCCAAUGUUGAGACGCUGUGUGAGGUGCAGGACAAAAUGUCUAAAAGUUGCCUGGAGCUGCUGAGAGAAGCAGCGAAUUUGAUUGAGGAAGCUCUGAGCAGAAGUCCAACGGCUCCCGCGGCACCGGUGACUCCAGCAGCUCAGUCACAGCAGAUACCGGCCGCUCAAUCACGUACACCUGUCCAAGCGGAGGUAGCAAGGCUCUUUGCGCCAUAUAACAUUGGAGCCAGAAGGAAUAUGACGAGACGACCAGCACAAGUCCAAGUUAGCCGAAGAAGCUACACACACACUGUCUGUUGUUUGGCUGACCACAAUGCGGAUAAAAUUCCAAGCGUACUGUUUAAAGCUGAACUUCUUACUUCAGGACUUGGAGAGCAAAAAGUAACAUUUUCAGGUCAGUGCGAAACUAGGCAUUUACCAAAAGUAAAAAAAGUUUGUACUGUCUGUGGCUUGUUGAAAUUAUUUGCAUUUCUUUUUAUAGUGACUCAAACUUAAUUGGUGUUCAUAGUGUCAAUAAUAGUUAUCACAGGUCAGUCACCAAAACAAAUCGGAGAUGGCUACAUAACAAACUUCUACUCCAUGCAGUCGUUGGGAGGACCAUGCGCCAAAUUAAACAGUUGAGAAAGGGACUGAAAGAUGUGAUGGUAUGGCCCCUGCUGACAUCUAGGCCGGAUGUUGUACCACUUCUUUUCCCCAAAAUGGCUGAAAUGCAGUUCA